rnacentral:rRNA from 1 species
UACGGAGGAUGCAAGCGUUAUCCGGAAUGAUUGGGCGUAAAGCGUCCGCAGGUGGCUAUGUAAGUCUGCUGUUAAAGAGUGAGGCUCAACCUCAUAAGAGCAGUGGAAACUACAUGGCUAGAGUGCGUUCGGGGCAGAGGGAAUUCCUGGUGUAGCGGUGAAAUGCGCAGAUAUCAGGAGGAACACCAAUGGCGAAGGCAGCUCGCUGGAACGGAACUGACGCUGAGGCGCGAAAGCGUGGGGAGCGAACAGG